rnacentral:rRNA from 1 species
CCUACGGGAGUCAGCAGUGAGGAAUAUUGGUCAAUGGGCGCGAGCCUGAACCAGCCAAGUAGCGUGAAGGAUGACUGCCCUACGGGUUGUAAACUUCUUUUAUAAAGGAAUAAAGUGAGGCACGUGUGCCUUUUUGUCUGUACUUUAUGAAUAAGGAUCGGCUAACUCCGUGCCAUCAGCCGCGGUAAUACGGAGGAUCCGAGCGUUAUCCGGAUUUAUUGGGUUUAAAGGGAGCGUAGAUGGGUUGUUAAGUCAGUUGUGAAAGUUUGCGGCUCAACCGUAAAAUUGCAAUUGAUACUGGCAGUCUUGAGUACAGUUGAGGUAGGCGGAAUUCGUGGUGUAGCGGUGAAAUGCUUAGAUAUCACGAAGAACUCCGAUUGCGAAGGCAGCUUACUAAACUGCCACUGACAUUGAUGCUCGAAAGUGUGGGUAUCAAACAGGAUUAGAUACCCCUGUAGUC